rnacentral:rRNA from 1 species
AGGACGAACGCUGGCGGCGUGCUUAACACAUGCAAGUCGAGCGGAAAGGCCCUUCGGGGUACUCGAGCGGCGAACGGGUGAGUAACACGUGAGUAAUCUGCCCCUAGCUCUGGGAUAGCUCCGGGAAACCGGGAUUAAUACCGGAUACGACCACUUUAGACAUCUGUUGUGGUGGAAAGAAUUUUGGCUAGGGAUGAGCUCGCGGCCUAUCAGCUUGUUGGUGGGGUAAUGGCCUACCAAGGCGACGACGGGUAGCCGGCCUGAGAGGGCGACCGGCCACACUGGGACUGAGACACGGCCCAGACUCCUACGGGAGGCAGCAGUGGGGAAUAUUGCGCAAUGGGCGAAAGCCUGACGCAGCGACGCCGCGUGGGGGAUGAAGGCCUUCGGGUUGUAAACCCCUUUCAGCCCUGACGAAGCGAAAGUGACGGUAGGGGCAGGAAGAAGCACCGGCCAACUACGCGCCAGCAGCCGC